rnacentral:tRNA from 2 species
GCCUGAAUAGCUCAGUUGGUAGAGCAAAGGACUGAAAAUCCUUGUGUCGCUGGUUCGAUUCCGGCUUCAGGCACCA